rnacentral:misc_RNA from 1 species
CGCCAAGGGCAGGAAGAAGAAAUGGCUUUACCCGGCCGCAGUGUCAGCAGGAAUAUGGAUUAUGUUAAUGUUAUCACUCACCCCGAGGCAGCCCACCCCCACCGGCACUGCCGUUCGUGUCCAAGUGUGUGUAUGGUUGAGUAGUGUAUGAGAAGAGGAAGAAUCCACCAAGAUGAAGAAGAGCGCAAAUAGUCUGUCGCCGAUUGCGCCUCCGCUGCCGAAUACGCCCCCGCCCCAGAUCCGGACUCCGGUGUCCCCGUUGGGAGUUCCCCCGGGACCGGGCCCGUUCAGAUUGACCCCACCUCCGCCGCCGCCACCACCGCCAAUCCCUCAGGUGGUGACGCCGCCCACCCUCAGCAUCAGCACCAGCAACAGCAAUCGGUGCAGCAGCCUGCUGGACGCGGACGACGACAUUACGCCGAUCACCUCGCCGCUGCCAAACAUCCUGUGCCCCCAGGAGAUCUACACCAUCUUCAGCCGGUCGGACAGCGCGACGGAUGGGCCGCCGGUGUUCGGACCGCCGAGGGGCAUUCCGCCGGUCGCGUCCGUCGAGUCGUUCCGGCUGUCGGCCAACAAUCACAGGAACUCCAUUUUCCUGAACAACAACAACAACCCCAGUGCCAGUAAUGCCAACAAUGUCCCAAGUGCCAGCAGCGGCGGAAGCAAGAACCGUUCCCGCCGGUCAUCGGUCCUGUCGCAGAACAACCGAAGCCAGGACCGGUCGGCUUCGGCCUCGGUCAAGUCGCACCACAGCUCGGUCUCGAACUGUGGCGGCCGGAAGCGCAGUUCGACCCACAUCGAGAUGAAUCCGAGCCACUUUGAGCGACCGCGGUGCCUCAAGUCGAGCUUUUUGCGGCGGAAGUGCAAGGAGUACGCAGAUGAUGACGACGCCACAACCUCCGGGGUGACGCUAGAUGACACUGAUAAGCGGGUGAUAUGGUUGAACAAAACUCAACCACAAAAGUACUGCAACAAUCAUAUCUCGACGGCAAAGUAUAGCGCACUAAGUUUCGUACCCUCGUUUUUGUUCGAGCAGUUCCGGCGGUACUCGAACUGCUUCUUUCUGUUCAUCGCGCUGCUGCAGCAGAUUCCGGACGUGUCGCCAACCGGACGCUACACCACCCUCGUACCUUUAAUAUUUAUUUUAUCUGUAAGUGCGAUCAAGGAGAUCGUGGAGGACAUCAAGCGGCACCGGGCCGACGAUGAGAUCAACCACCGCGAGAUCGAAGCCCUCCGGGACGGCCAGUGGAAGCAGGUCAAGUGGAAAGAGCUGACGGUCGGGGACAUUGUCAAGGUGCAGAACAACACCUUCUUCCCGGCCGAUCUGGUGCAGCUGUCGAGCAGCGAGCCGCAGGGCAUCUCGUUCAUCGAGACGGCCAACCUGGACGGCGAGACGAACCUGAAGAUUCGCCAGGGCGUCCCCGCGACGGCCAAGAUCCUCGAGACCAAAGAUUUGCAGCAGUUUGAGGGCACGCUCGAGAGCGAACCGCCCAACCGGCAUUUAUACGAGUUCAACGGGGUGCUCAAGGAGAAGGACAAGCCCGCGGUCGCCCUCGGCCCGGACCAGCUGCUGCUGCGGGGCGCGAUGCUGCGGAACACCUCCUGGGUAUUCGGCAUCGUCAUCUACACCGGGCACGAUACGAAACUUAUGCGAAACUCUACCUCAGCGCCGCUCAAGCGCUCAACCGUGGACAGACUGACAAAUACGCAAAUUUUAAUGUUAUUUUUCAUUCUCAUCUUUCUUUGCAUCGUGAGUUGCAUUUUCAAUCAAAUCUGGACGAAAGAGCAUUACAAAAAAGAUUGGUAUCUAGGCAUAGGUGAUCUAUUAAGUAAAAACUUCGCCUACAAUCUGCUGACGUUUAUUAUUUUGUACAAUAAUUUAAUUCCGAUUUCACUGCAAGUUACGUUAGAGCUAGUUAGGUUUCUUCAGGCAACCUUCAUCAACAUGGACAUCGACAUGUACCACGAGGAGUCGGACACGCCGGCCAUGGCCCGGACCUCAAACCUGAACGAGGAGCUCGGCAUGGUCAAGUACAUCUUCUCGGACAAGACGGGCACGCUUACGCGCAACGUGAUGGAGUUCAAAAAGUGCUCGGUGGCACGGUCCAUGUACCAGCUGGAGGAAACCCCAGCCCAGUCGCAGCUGGUGCAGCACAUCAUGAACAAUCACCACUCGGCGCCGGUCCUGCGCGAAUUCCUCACGCUGAUGGCCAUCUGCCACACGGUGAUACCGGAAAAGUCCGAAGCGGACAACAUCCAGUACCACGCGGCCAGUCCGGACGAGCGCGCGCUGGUGUACGGCGCGAAACGGUUCGGGUACGUGUUCCACACGCGAACGCCCUCGUACGUCGAAAUCGAAGCGCUGGGCGUCCAGGAACGGUUCGAGAUUCUGAACGUGCUUGAGUUCACCUCAACGCGCAAGCGAAUGUCGGUGAUUGCCCGCAACUCCAAGGGGGAAAUCAAGCUGUACUGCAAGGGUGCCGACACAGUCAUCUACGAGCGUUUGGCGCCCAACGGACAGGCCUACCGGGAGGCCACUCUGCAGCAUUUGGAGGAGUUUGCCACGUCGGGGUUGCGAACGUUGUGCUGUGCGGUGGCCUCGAUCCCCGAUGACGUGUACGAGGACUGGAAGCACACGUACCACAAGGCGUCCACCUCGUUGCAGUACCGCGAGCAGAAGGUCGAGGACGCGGCGAACCUCAUCGAGACGAACCUGAUGCUGCUGGGUGCGACCGCCAUCGAGGACAAGCUGCAGGACGGCGUGCCGGAGACGAUCGCGUCCCUCAUCGAGGCCAAGAUCAACGUGUGGGUGCUGACCGGGGACAAGCAGGAGACAGCCAUCAACAUCGGGUACUCGUGCAAGCUGCUGUCGCACGGGAUGGACCUGAUCAUACUGAACGAGGACAGCUUGGAUAACACCCGCAACUGCAUCCAGAGGCACAUCGCCGAAUUUGGCGAUCAGCUGCGCAAGGAGAACAACGUGGCGUUGAUCGUGGAUGGCAAAACCCUCAAAUACGCCCUCAGCUGUGACCUGCGGACGGAUUUCCUCGACCUGUGCAUCUCGUGCAAGGUGGUGAUCUGCUGUCGAGUUUCACCCAUCCAAAAGGCGGACGUUGUCGAUCUGGUGACGACCAACACCAAAUCGGUAACGCUGGCCAUCGGAGACGGGGCGAACGAUGUAGCGAUGAUUCAGAAGGCCCACGUCGGGGUGGGCAUUUCCGGCGUUGAAGGACUGCAGGCGGCGUGUGCCUCCGACUACUCGAUAGCUCAGUUUAGCUAUCUGCGAAAGUUGUUGCUGGUGCACGGCGCGUGGAACUACAGCCGGAUGUGCAAACUGAUCCUGUACAGCUUCUACAAGAACAUCUGCCUGUACGUGAUCGAGCUGUGGUUCGCCAUUUACUCUGGAUGGUCCGGCCAAAUCUUAUUCGAACGAUGGACAAUCGGUUUAUACAACGUGUUUUUCACGGCGCUGCCACCCUUCGCGAUGGGUCUCUUCGACAAAGUGACCUCGGCGGAGCAGAUGCUAAAAGAACCAAGACUUUACGAACCAUCCCAAAGUGCCCAACUGUUUAACGUGAAAGUGUUCUGGUACUGGAUCUUCAACGCGCUGGUCCACUCGGUGCUGCUGUACUGGCUUUCGAUGUUCACCUACCAGGGCGACGUCAUCUGGGGGAACGGCCGGGACGGCGGCUAUCUAGUGUUAGGAAACAUAGUUUAUACGUACGUAGUCGUAACAGUGUGUCUGAAGGCCGGCCUGGUCACAAACUCGUGGACGUGGCUGACGCACUGCUCCAUCUGGGGCUCGAUGGUGCUGUGGUUUGUGUUUAUUUUUAUUUAUAGUAAUAUCUGGCCAGCGCUGCCGGUGGGUGCGGUCUUCACCGGGAUGGACGACAUGAUCUUCUCGUCGCCGGUGUUCUGGCUGGGUCUGUUCCUGAUCCCCAUCACGGCGCUGCUGCCGGAUGUGGUCGUCAAAGUGAUAAAGAACCGCAAGCAGGACAUUGCAACGCCCCACCCGAUCAAGGAAUCGCGGUCUUCAACUAUGCAUGCCCUUGGAACAAUAAUCCGGUAUUAACCGAAACCGCCCGCCUACUGAGAAACGUGCGACGAGUCUUUACCGGCCGGUCGCACACUACCGAAAAUAAAGAGCUCGAACUGAAGCAUGGUUUCGCCUUUUCGCA